ensembl:snRNA U1 U1 spliceosomal RNA
AUACUUACCUUGCAGGGGAGUUACCAUGAUCACGAAGGUGGUUUUCCCAGGAUGAGGCAUAUCCAUUACACUGCGAUGUGCUGACCCCUGCGAUUUUCCCAGAUGUGGGAAACUAGACUGCAUAAUUUGUGGUAGCAGGGGACUGCAUUCUUACUCUUCCCCUC